rnacentral:lncRNA from 1 species
AGUUCCCCACCUUUUUUUCUAUUGAUGCUUCUUUUUUAACAAACUACAGUUUUACCGUGUGUUUGCCAUUUGAGCUGUGUGGUGGGCAGGGGGCUGGUUUGGGUUUAUGGGGAGCUUUUGUUGCACCCAUGCAGGGGCAAUCAGAUCAGCAUCUUCAUGCAAAAAAAAAAAAAAAGUUGAGUGCUCUGCAGGCCUGUGAAGGGUGCCACCUGAGGGAGCCGCCUGCAAGCGGCCCUGCAGCCACAAAGCAACCCGCCCUCUGCAAAAACUAGGCACAUCCGCAGUGCGCAUGUGUGUGCGUGCAUGCACAUAUGUGUAUGUGUGUGGAUCUGUACACACACACGUAUAUAUGGCCAGAUGCGUAUUUCAAUAAGGAACUAUUUACUGGCAUGAUAUUUGCAUUCCUCUUAUCAGGCAUUUUCAUUUGGAAAUUUCAUUAUUGAAUGUAGCAAGGUUGUAGUUGUUUUUUUUUUUUUUUCAGGGAACUAGACUGCAAGAAUAUCUUUCUGGUCAACCCAUUUUUGUCCCUCAUCACCCCGCCCCCACCUUUCGCUCCUGCCCUCUGCCCGGCCCUACUGAGAUUCCCAAGGAGAAGGCCGAGAGGGGGCGCUCCAGGUCUGGAGCAGGUAUAAUUGGAGCAUUUGCACUGAGACCCCUGCCAGAGAGGAGAAAACCCUUUCAAGGGAAAUUUUAAUCUAAAAGGAAAAAACCAAAAUAUUGAUGAGAAGGAGUCCUCCAGUUAGUGAAAGGGGAGUUUCGUUUUCAGCUUUCUUUGGUUCCUACUCCAAUUCCACAUCCUUCAUCCUGGCCAUGCCCCCACCUUCAAGAGCAUGAAGCACUCUUGGAGUUGUGGGUCCUGCCCAGAGUCCAGAGAGCAGCCUCAGCUGAGCACAGGUCCGAGGGGGCGGGGGCAGGGCCAAGAGUUCAAAAGAAGCCAAUGGAGGGAGAGGGAGCGUCAGAAGCCCGGAGGAGCUGGUGGUGGGAGAAUGACGGCAGGGACGCAGCCACAGUUCAGACCCUGUCCCCUCAGCACCUGGAUGGACUCCCACUGUUUGCUUUGGCAAAUGCCGAGGAGUCCUCGGUAGACCACCUUGAUGUCUGCUGUGACAUCAGAGGUGCCACCACCAAAGCACUCUUCCCACCCUAGUCUUUGUGUCCAGCGGCCAAGCUUAAGCCAUGAAGUCAUGGAUUUGUGGCUCAGCACCAGGUCCUGAGGGGAGCGUAUCCUGGCAGUGUGGGCACCUGGUGGCCAAGCCUCAGUUUCCCCCAAAUGAGCAAAGGGGAUAAAGAGGGGCCCGACUUUUGCCACCCUCCUGAGGAAGCCCCUAGGUCCACACAGUGAUGCCAUGGGGGACCCUUGCCUUCCACACUUGCAGGUGUCACGUUUUGCAGGGAGGUGUUUGGGCCUUGGGCUCAGCCACUGGGAGACAGUUGGGACCUGAGGGACAGAGGAUCGGAAUGGAAACCACCAACGUGCACUGGCACCCUCAGAAGGCUUGUCUCACCUCCACCGGCAUCCACACAAAACCAAACAGGAGCAGGCGUCAUCCCCACUAUUCCCAUGAAUGCCAUGUCACCCCUGAGCAGAAGCAGUCAAAUCUUGGGCAAAAGAAUUUCGGUUAGAAAAGAAAAUCCCACUUUAAAAUGCCAGCUGCAGAUAACUCAAAGCCAUCCCUUUUUUCUAAAGGGCACAUUGAGAAUGUCACCCAUUUGUAAACUGUUCCCUGAUGUCCUUGUUUAAACGAUAAUAAGAAAAAGGGCAACUCCAUUUGUUGAGGGUCUUUGUGUUCUUCAAUGAGAAAUCAAAUUUGAGACGUUGAAAUUGGAGCUGCGUGCUGCUGCACUCACCGGCUUCUUCUCACUCUCUGUCGUAGACACACCGAUAGGACCAAUGGCCAAUAGAUAUUAAAAGCAAACCCUCACUGCUGCUGUAUAAAGUUGCCUAAUGUAAAUGUCUAUUGUUUAGUCCCUAGGUCACCUUUGUGCUGUGCUGUGGAGUUCAGAAACGGGGUACCAUGACCUGGAAUCUUUUGCUCUUGUUUUUGCAGUCUUCAAGGCUGGGGGCCCUGUCUCAUUGGGAAGCCCCUCUUUAUAAAGCAUUAUAUUACUUGGAAUGGCUUGGUCAACUGUGUUCAGUUCAUAAAUAUGUUUUACAUUUUUAUCUGCCUGUUAUAAAGAUGAACAAAAAAACUUAAUGAGAAAGAUCACAGAUACGUAAUAAUUUAAAGUCUGUAGUUGAAUUUCCUAACUUAAAGAAUAGACCAAAAUUUCUGUGUAUAAAAAAAAAUGAAAGGCUCCUUACAUCC